AUUCUUGAAUUGUUAACCAGAAACAAUUGUAUGUACCAACCUGCUUUGACUUAUAUCUUGACAGACACUAACUUUUUUUACACCACUAACCAAAAUCAAAUAUUCAUACCAAUAUUUUACCGUGACUUGUGAAUUAUCUGAACCUAAAUAGUCUCAUCUCAUUUUACCAAUAAUUGAUUCGUUAUUUGGGAUCCGUUAUACACUUUAAUUAAUUGUAUCCAC
rnacentral:lncRNA from 1 species